GCCCUUAUACAUGAGCAAAAUCUCAACUUUAUUAGAAGAGACGCAUUUAUUAGAUAAAAAGCCAAUGCAUGCUUUUACAGUAUGAAAAUUGGUGAUUUAUAAUAACUUAGCAAAUCGCAAAGUGAAAACAGGCGAUAAAUCAUUCAAGUUUCUGACCUAUCAGCUUUCGACGGUAUGGUAUUGGCUUACCGUGGCAGACGGUUAACGGGGGAUUAGGGUUCGAUUCCGGAGAGGGAGCCUGAGAAACGGCUACCAUCUAAGGAAGGCAGCAGGCGCGCAAAUUACCCAAUUCUAACAGUUUGAGAGAGGUUAACAAGAAAUAACAAUACAAGGCAGUUAAAAUGCUUUGUAAUUGGAAAUAGAAAUUUAAACCCUUUUUAAAGUAUCAAUUGGAGGGCAAGUCUGGUGCCAGCAGCCGCGGUAAUUCCAGCUCCAAUAGCGUAUAUUAAAAUUGUUGCAGUUAAAAAGCUCGUAGUUGAAGUUCUGCUAAAAGUAACCGGUCUGCUUUGAAUAAAAGUGGUAUCUUGGUAUGUAUUUAGCAAUGAUGUCCUUUGAAGUGUUUUUUACUCUAUUGUAAUAAAGCAUAUUCAGGACUUUUACUUUGAGAAAAUUAGAGUGUUUCUAGCAGGCUAACGCUUUGAAUACUGCAGCAUGGAAUAAUAAGAAGGGC
rnacentral:rRNA from 1 species